rnacentral:rRNA from 1 species
GGCGGCAGGCCUAACACAUGCAAGUCGAACGGUAGCACAGAGGAGCUUGCUCCUUGGGUGACGAGUGGCGGACGGGUGAGUAAUGUCUGGGAAACUGCCCGAUGGAGGGGGAUAACAACUGGAAACGGUAGCUAAUACCGCAUAACGUCGCAAGACCAAAGAGGGGGACCUUCGGGCCUCUUGCCAUCGGAUGUGCCCAGAUGGGAUUAGCUAGUAGGUGGGGUAACGGCUCACCUAGGCGACGAUCCCUAGCUGGUCUGAGAGGAUGACCAGCCACACUGGAACUGAGACACGGUCCAGACUCCUACGGGAGGCAGCAGUGGGGAAUAUUGCACAAUGGGCGCAAGCCUGAUGCAGCCAUGCCGCGUGUAUGAAGAAGGCCUUCGGGUUGUAAAGUACUUUCAGCGAGGAGGAAGGCAUUGUGGUUAAUAACCGCAGUGAUUGACGUUACUCGCAGAAGAAGCACCGGCUAACUCCGUGCCAGCAGCCGCGGUAAUACGGAGGGUGCAAGCGUUAAUCGGAAUUACUGGGCGUAAAGCGCACGCAGGCGGUCUGUCAAGUCGGAUGUGAAAUCCCCGGGCUCAACCUGGGAACUGCAUCCGAAACUGGCAGGCUAGAGUCUUGUAGAGGGGGGUAGAAUUCCAGGUGUAGCGGUGAAAUGCGUAGAGAUCUGGAGGAAUACCGGUGGCGAAGGCGGCCCCCUGGACAAAGACUGACGCUCAGGUGCGAAAGCGUGGGGAGCAAACAAAAUUAGAUACCCUGGUAGUCCACGCCGUAAACGACCUCAAAAGGGAGGUUGUGCCCUUGGAGGCGUGGCUUCCCGGAGCUAACGCGUUAAGUCGACCCGCCGGGGAGUCGGGCCCCAAGGUUAAACUUCAAUGAAUUGACGGGGGGCCCGCCCAAGCGGUGGAGCAUGUGGUUUAAUUCGAUGCAACGCGAAGAACCUUACCUACUCUUGACAUCCAGAGAACUUAGCAGAGAUGCUUUGGUGCCUUCGGGGAACUCUGAGACAGGUGCUGCAUGGCUGUCGUCAGCUCGUGUUGUGAAAUGUUGGGUUAAGUCCCGCAACGAGCGCAACCCUUAUCCUUUGUUGCCAGCGGUUCGGCCGGGAACUCAAAGGAGACUGCCAGUGAUAAACUGGAGGAAGGUGGGGAUGACGUCAAGUCAUCAUGGCCCUUACGAGUAAGGCUACACACGUGCUACAAUGGCAUAUACAAAGAGAAGCGACCUCGCGAGAGCAAGCGGACCUCAUAAAGUAUGUCGUAGUCCGGAUUGGAGUCUGCAACUCGACUCCAUGAAGUCGGAACCGCUAGUAAUCGUGGAUCAGAAUGCCACGGUGAAUACGUUCUCGGGCCUUGUACACACCGCCCGUCACACCAUGGGAGUGGGUUGCAAAAGAAGUAGGUAGCUUAACCUUCGGGAGGGCGCUUACCACUUUGUGAUUCAUGACUGGGGUGAAGU